AGCAGAGUGAUGUCUGUGUGUGAGGUGCAUGUAGCAGAGCUGUGUGUGUGAAACUAAGAUACAGAUGUCAGAGCAGCAGAGCUCUGUGUGUGAGGUGCAUGUAGCAGAGCUGUGUGUGUGUGAAACUAAGAUACAGAUGUCAGGGCAGCAGAGCUGUGUGUGUGUGAGGUGCAUGUAGCAAGUGCUGUGUGUGUGUGAAACUAAGAUACAGAUGUCAGGACAGCAGAGCUGUGUGUGUGAGGUGCAUGUAGCAGUGCUGUGUGUGGGUGAAACUAAGAUACAGAUGUCAGGGCAGCAGAGCUGUGUGUGUGAGGUGCAUGUAGCAGAGCUGUGUGUGGGUGAAACUUAGAUACAGAUGUCAGGACAGUAGAGCUGUGUG